AACCAUGACGGGGCCAUGGGGACACUCUUGGAACAUACGAGCCUGUCCUUUGAGAGGACCCUGGAAGCUCAGCCACCCAACACUGGAUCCUGUGGGUGAACCCUGUCUGCAAACAGCCCUGGCAUGCACACCAGGCUCUCAAGAGGAUAGCAUCAGCCAGAUCAAGGUCAGCAUCUCCUUCAUGAGCUCAGGGAUUCCAGAUGUGCACCUCUGUGCCGGGGCUUGCUCUGAGCACCCAGGAGAAUGGCAGUGAGGCAGGAACACGCCCAGAAGGAGCAUCGCUUCAGGAAGGAGGGCAAUAGGAAGCAAAACAUUAGCUGAGAGGGUCGAGGUGUUGAAGGCUUGAGAAGGUGUGAAAGGGCCGUCCUGGAGAGCGGAGGAGCAACCUGAGUAGGAAAAUGCUGCGAGCCUAGAGACUAUGGACCAGCACCAAAACCCCAAAACCCUUCGUGAAGUUGCCAGAAGUCAGCGCGGUGCUGUUUCCCUCCAGCCACACGUGGCAACACGGGCGCAUGCGUGGGGCGGAGGGGCCGUGGCCUCAUCUGGGGCUGGGGGGCUGCCUGGCAUGCACCAAGCAGAGAGUGUGUGCAGGAUGGGGGCGCACCGUAAGCCAGAUUAGGACGGGGGACGGGGUGUGCGGGCAGUGACGGUGGCCGGGAGGUUGCAGAGCUGUCUGGGUCGGGCGUGAGGGAGGGAGCAGGUAGUGAAGGGUGCCCAAACUGAACUUGCAGGGUGGCGUAAUAACUGGUGAUGAGAAGGUCUAGCGGGAUGAAGUGAGGGGAAGGCAGGGCUUGGUAGUGAGACGGUGAGGGCAGAGCGAGGCCAGCGGAGCAGGUGGGUCAUGCUGAUGGCCAGGAGCUCAGUUAGGAUGUGGACAGGAGUUGUGGUGGAAGAGAACCCAGGGAACCAGGAGCCCAGCUCCUCCACGAAUGGAGAGCAUGGCCAGGAGGAAGGGCGAUCUCAAUAAGGAGAAGUGUGCGUCCCCAGGAGCGGUCCUUCUCGGGGAAGAGGACGAGGAACCCUGGCCCCAGGUGGCUGUGAGCAGCGGGAUGCCUGCCCCACCCCCAGCAAGGCUCUGUUUGGGGGGAGUGCGUGCAGGUGAAGGCGGGGUUCAGAGAGCCUGGUGGGUGAGGGACUUGGCGAGGUCAGGACACAGCUCCAGGAAGCCGAGGUAAGACUUCAUCCAUCCACCAAAAGCCAAUUCCUACUCUAUACUUUAAUCCAGAAUCCAGAAAACAGGCUACAAUUCACUUCUCAGGCUUCUUUGAGUUUUAAAAAACUGUCGUUGCUGCUAUUUAGUGGGAAAACUAGCAUUGGAGAUGUGAUUAGAACGCCCAUGUGCCACUCACUUGUGUUAGAUGCGCCACAAAGACGCAGAGCUGCAACCCGGCUGGAUCUGACCUCGGGCCCACAGGGCACACAGGCCCAGGAAGAUGAAGGAAGUUCAACUCGGAGCAGACACGUGAAGUGUGCCUCGGUAUUCACAAGGACUAUUUGGGGGCAUCUUUUGUGACUAGUUUGGCCUCUUCUUCCAUAUGUGUCUAUUAAUUAAACAUGCCUGCUUACUCGCAGAGGCCCUACACAACCUCAGGGGAAGAUAUUCACACCAUUUUUACAAAAGGGCAGAAGAAACCUUCUCAAAUCAUUGAUUUGGGAACUGCCUCCUCUGAUUGACCAACCAGCCAAAGGCUUUCUGUACCUGGAAUUAGCUCCAGCCUUGGAAACAGAAAAGUCUGUGGCUGGGUCAGAACGUGGCUGUAGAAUCUGAACCACCUCACAGUGGCGAUUCCCCAAAUGCACCCCAAGAGACCCUGGUGUACCCUAAGAUGUGAUGUGUGUGUUGAUGUGCUGUGAACAGAAGGUCAAACAAACUUGGGAUCCCGGGGCUAGUUGACCAGCUGUAUUUACCACAUGGCCUGAGCUGCACA